GCAGCCGCCGCGGGAAUACGAGGGGGGCAAGCGUUGUUCGGAAUUAUUGGGCGUAAAGGGUGCGUAGGCGGUUUGGCAAGUUUGGUGUGAAAUCUUCGGGCUCAACUCGAAGUCUGCAUCGAAAACUGCCGGGCUUGAGUAUGGGAGAGGUGAGUGGAAUUUCCGGUGUAGCGGUGAAAUGCGUAGAUAUCGGAAGGAACACCUGUGGCGAAAGCGGCUCACUGGACCAUAACUGACGCUGAUGCACGAAAGCUAGGGGAGCAAACAGGAUUAGAUACCCCCGUAGUCCCUGUCUCUUAUAC
rnacentral:rRNA from 1 species